rnacentral:lncRNA from 1 species
GCCUAUGUUAAGUGCUUACUAUGUCCAUUCAUUUGAUCAUAUUUAUUGAGCGCUUACUGUGAGCAAAGCACUGUACUAAGCUCUUGGGAGAGGACAAUAUAACGACAGACACAUUCCCUGCUCGCAACGAGCUAUGUGUGACAGGCACUGUACUAAGUGCUGGGCUAGAGACGAGUUUGGACACACUUCAUGUCCCACAUGGAGCUCAUAGUCCUAAUACCCGUUUUACUCAUGGGGCUUAAUUUCCAAUUUACAGAUGAGGUAACUGAGGCACGGAGAAAUGAAGAAACUUACCUGAGGUCAGAGCAGACAAGUGGCUGAAAUAGUCGGGAUGAAAACCCAGGUCCUGACUCCAGGUCCAUGCUCUAUCCACACAGCUUCUCUCUUUCAUGAAAAACUCUUAUAGAAAAUUUCCCGAGAUGGAGAAGGCUCCACCUUCACUAACCCACUAGAACUGCAAAUCUGUGUUUGGUUUCUGCUGGGGAAAUCACCUACACUCUCAUGAAAUGAUUCAGUACGGUAGAACUCGGGAACAUUACAUUUGGUGGAUGCAGGUUACUCUCAUCCAUACGUGGACUGGGAUCCUCCUUGAAAUGUGGAGUUUGGUUUUGAGGACAAGCAGAUAUGAAAGUAACCUGUACAAGAGGCUGAAAAAAGAGGCUGUAUUCUCUCCUCAGCAUCCUCAUACACGCUUUAAAAAAAGUGGAAGUGCCCUAAAGAGAAAACUGUAAAGAGGAAAUGGCUAUGAAGGAGGAAGAAAUUCCCUGAUGGAGAUGAUAACAGAGGCAGGAAAUUAAGAGCCCAAGAACUCCCCUCUUUUAAUUUUGACCAUGAAUUUCUCUCACCAUUGCCCUGAGGUAAACAGGGGAACCACACUGCAGAAACACCGAUGUGCUAUAGGAAGAAUCAGCCAUGUUUGUUUUUUUUCUUUUUCUGGCUCAUAAUAAAUUCAAGAAGGCUGCUUAGUGACCACUCAGUCAAUUACCUACUGAACCUUGGGAAUCAGAGAUGAAUACAAAGAACUAGUUGGAAAGACCUGGUUACCAACUGCUUCUCAGGACAGAGUCCAAGGAGCAGGAGGAGAUUUUCUAUCAGAGUAAUGCCAUUUUGGAGAAUUAAUAAAAGUCUUGGGGCCUCAUUCUCUUAAAUGGUGGACACUUGGUGAGUCACAUUCUAAUCACAGUGAAAGAGAACAUCUCUUCAGGGGCUCUUACCACCUUUCAUCUGCAUCAGCUGGGUGCUGCUUUGGAGCUGGGAUUGCUUCCUCCUUGGUGUUUUCCAAUUGGGCCAGGAAUGGAGUCUUCUGAUUGCCACUUCACACCUGACUCUUCCCAUUUCCCGCUCCCCCAUUUGCAAAAUGUGAUGGAUGUCAAGGAGGCAACCAACACAUGGUCUCUAGAGGCAUUCCAUUGCUACUGUUGAAGGCAGAAUACUAGACUGGGUGUAACUUUGAUUUGACCAAGGAAUGGUAUUUCUUGUCAUCUAAACUUUGACUUAUUCUUUCAUCCCCCAGACUUUCCUACUUUACCUAGAUCACAGUCUGGGUAGUAAGGGGGAGGGAGAACAGAUAAUUAAUCCCCAUUUUACAGUUGAGGAAACUGAGGCAUUAACUGGCCCAAGAUCACACAGUAGGCAGGUGCCAGAACCAGGAUUAUAUGUUCAUCCAAUAGUAUUUAGUGAGCACUUACUAUGUGCAGAGCACUGUACUAAGUGCUUGGAAUGUACAAAUCAGCAACAGAGACAGUCCCUGCCCAUUGAUGGGCUUAUAGUCUAAUUGGGGGAGACAGACAGACAAAAACAAUAGCAAUAAAUAGAAUCAAGGUGAUGUACAUCUCAUUAACAAAAUAAAUAGGGUAAUGAAAAUAUAUACAAUUGAGCGAACAAGCACAGUGCUGAGGGGAGGGGAAAGGAGAGG